ACGCUCCGUUAGCUAACCACAUGUUAAACAGGUGACCAAUGAACGCACUCACCACUUUCUCCCUGUCCGAAGGUUCGAGGACUGAAAAAGGUUUUCCUCUUCGCGCCUAGGACAGAACGUUCUCUCACGUCUGUCUCUGACGUCUCCAGCUGUCCAAGCAGUGGGUCCUCUGAAGGUCAGACAGACAGAUGAGAGAGACAUACAGGUGAGACAGAGACAGACGGGUGAGACAGACGGGUGAGACAGAGAGAGACGGGUGAGACAGAGACAGACAGGUGAGAGAGACAGUUGAGACAGAGAGAGACAGGUGAGACAGACAGGUGAGACAGAUGGGUGAGACAGAGAGAGACAGGUGAGACAGAGACA